rnacentral:rRNA from 1 species
AUUGAACGCUGGCGGCAGGCCUAACACAUGCAAGUCGAACGAGUGGCGGACGGGUGAGUAAUGUCUGGGAAACUGCCCGAUGGAGGGGGUUAACUACUGGUAACGGUAGCUAAUUCCGCAUACCAUCGCUUGUGCCCAGGUGGGAUGAGCUAGUGGGUGGGGUAACGGCUCACCUCGGCGACGAUCCCUAGCUGGUCUGAGCGGAUGACCCGCCACACUGGAACUGGAACACGGUCCAGACUCCUACGGGAGGCAGCAGUGGGGAAUAGUGGACAAUGGGGACAAGCCUGAUGCAGCCAUGCCGCGUGUGUGAAGAAGGCCUUCGGGUUGUAAAGUACUUUCAGCGAGGAGGCGUUACUCGCAGAAGAAGCACCGGCUAACUCCGUGUCAGCCGCCGCGGUAAUUC